ACCUGGGUGGCUCAGUGGUUGAGUGUCUGUCUUUGGCUCAGGUCGUGAUCCUAGAGUUCUGGGAUCAAGUCCCACCUCAGGGU
rfam:Canis lupus familiaris chromosome 19, whole genome shotgun sequence.